rnacentral:rRNA from 1 species
GUGGGGAAUCUUCCGCAAUGGACGAAAGUCUGACGGAGCGACGCCGCGUGAGUGAAGAAGGCCUUCGGGUCGUAAAGCUCUGUCAUCAGGGACGAACGGCCGGUGGAGUGGAAAGCCACCGGAUUGACGGUACCUGAGAAGGAAGCCACGGCUAACUACGUGCCAGCAGCCGCGGUAAUACGUAGGUGGCAAGCGUUGUCCGGAAUUAUUGGGCGUAAAGCGCGCGCAGGUGGGAUCUUAAGUCCAUUUUUAAAGUUCGGAGCUCAACUCCGUGAUGGGAUGGAAACUGGGAUUCUUGAGUACCGGAGAGGAAAGCGGAAUUCCCCGUGUAGCGGUGAAAUGCGUAGAUAUGGGGAGGAACACCAGUGGCGAAGGCGACACACUGGCUCAUUACUGACGCUGAGGCGCGAAAGCGUGGGGAGCAAACAGGAUUAGAAACCCGUGUAGUCC